rnacentral:ncRNA from 2 species
AACUAUAUGACGAGAACGGGUGUCGGAUGAAGAUUCGGCAUAAUAGGGAAACCGGUGAAAAUCCGGUACGGUCGCGCCACUGUAAGCGGGGAGCUGCACAACUGCCACUGUUUCUUAACGAGAAACGGGAAGGCCUUGGGCACUAGCUACGAUCCGCAAGUCAGGAGACCUGCCUGUUCUAUCACACCACU